rnacentral:rRNA from 1 species
GAUUAUAUACCCUAGUAGUCCUACGCCGUAAACGAGUAGAAUUGGAGGUUGUGCCCUUGAGGAGUGUCUUCCGGAGUAACGCGUUAAAGUCGACCCGCCUGGGGAGUACGGCCGCAAGGUUAAAACUCAAAUGAAUUGACGGGGGCCCGCACAAGCGGUGGAGCAUGUGGUUUAAUUCGAUGCAACGCGAAGAACCUUACCUGGUCUUGACAUCCACGGAAGUUUUCAGAGAUGAGAAUGUGCCUUCGGGAACCGUGAGACAGGUGCUGCAUGGCUGUCGUCAGCUCGUGUUGUGAAAUGUUGGGUUAAGUCCCGCAACGAGCGCAACCCUUAUCCUUUGUUGCCAGCGGUCCGGCCGGGAACUCAAAGGAGACUGCCAGUGAUAAACUGGAGGAAGGUGGGGAUGACGUCAAGUCAUCAUGGCCCUUACGACCAGGGCUACACACGUGCUACAAUGGCGCAUACAAAGAGAAGCGACCUCGCGAGAGCAAGCGGACCUCAUAAAGUGCGUCGUAGUCCGGAUUGGAGUCUGCAACUCGACUCCAUGAAGUCGGAAUCGCUAGUAAUAGUGGAUCAGAAUGCCACGGUGAAUACGUUCCCGGUCCUUGUACACACCGCCCGUCACACCAUGGGAGUGGGUUGCAAAAGAAGUAGGUAGCUUAACCCUCGGGAUGGCG